UACGAAGGGGGCUAGCGUUGCUCGGAAUCACUGGGCGUAAAGCGCACGUAGGCGGAUUGUUAAGUCAGGGGUGAAAUCCUGGAGCUCAACUCCAGAACUGCCUUUGAUACUGGCGAUCUUGAGUCCGGGAGAGGUGAGUGGAACUGCGAGUGUAGAGGUGAAAUUCGUAGAUAUUCGCAAGAACACCAGUGGCGAAGGCGGCUCACUGGCCCGGUACUGACGCUGAGGUGCGAAAAGCG
rnacentral:rRNA from 1 species